rnacentral:rRNA from 1 species
GGCGAACGCUGGCGGCGUGCUUAACACAUGCAAGUCGAACGGUAAGGCCCUUCGGGGUACACGAGUGGCGAACGGGUGAGUAACACGUGGGUGAUCUGCCCUGCACUUCGGGAUAAGCCCGGGAAACUGGGUCUAAUACCGGAUAGGACUCCUGCCUGCAUGGGCGGGGGUGGACAGCUUUUGUGGUGUGGGAUGGGCCCGCGGCCUAUCAGCUUGGUGGUGGGGGGAUGGCCUACCAAGGCGACGACGGGUAGCCGGCCUGAGAGGGUGACCGGCCACACUGGGACUGAGAUACGGCCCAGACUCCUACGGGAGGCAGCAGUGGGGAAUAUUGCACAAUGGGCGCAAGCCUGAUGCAGCGACGCCGCGUGAGGGAUGACGGCCUUCGGGUUGUAAACCUCUUUCAGCACAGACGAAGCGCAAGUGACGGUAUGUGCAGAAGAAGGACCGGCCAACUACGUGCCAGCAGCCGCGGUAA